GACCUGGAAGCGGAGCGGUCCGCGCCUAAAGAUAAUGAGUGGGACGGCCUCAGCAUUCUAUUGGGAGGCCCUUGUUCGACUCAAGGCCAGGUCA